rnacentral:rRNA from 1 species
UACGUAGGGUGCGAGCGUUAAUCGGAAUUACUGGGCGUAAAGCGUGCGCAGGCGGUUCGUUGUGUCGGUGGUGAAAGCCCCGGGCUUAACCUGGGAAUGGCCGUCGAAACUGGCGAACUGGAGUGUGGCAGAGGGGGGUGGAAUUCCGCGUGUAGCAGUGAAAUGCGUAGAGAUGCGGCGGAACACCGAUGGCGAAGGCAGCCCCCUGGGCUGAGAUUGACGCUCAGGCACGAAAGCGUGGGGAGCAAACAGG